GAAAGGAAGAGAGCCAAGAGGGAGGGAGAAAGAAGGAAAGGAGAAAGAAAAGAGAAGGCAGUACUGUCAAAUAACUCCUUUAGGGUCUGUCCCAUGACCUAACCUCCUCCCAGUGGACCCUGCCUUUUAAAGGUCCUGCCAUCUCUCAGUGGUGUUACAGGCUUGGGACCAAUCCCUUAGCAUGAGAGCCUUUAGGGAGCAUAUAAGCUGCAAACCAUAAAGAAUAUCUUAAAAGGCUUUUGUGCCCAUAUAGAGAACAUACAAGAAAGGGCAAUUCUCAGACCCUGCUCCUGCCUCCCUGAGGUGACUCUGGGGUUGGGGGCCUGGUCUGCAGCAGCAUGUCCGUGGACUCAGUUUGGGGUGCCCUGGGAUAGAUGCUGUGGAGAAGGAAGCUGAUGCUUCUCUCAGGCCAGUGUUGCUGUGGAAACCAGCUGUGCACAGGUGCAGCCUUACUCACACAUCCCCCUGCUGCACCAGCGUUUGUUUCUUCUCUGCCCCAGGCUCCUCUGCUGUACAGGAAGGGUGAGCUGGGAAGCCUGCCGAGCCAUUCCAGGCAUGUGCAAACCUGGAGAUGCUGAGGGGUUGAUGAACAGCCCUGGGGCCUCCAUGAACCAAGGUUCUGUUUCAAGCAUCAAGAUGGCAGCUCACAGCCAUGGAACUCCAGUUUCAGGGGAUCUGGUGCCUUCCUCUGACCUCCAAGUCUUUGGAAACACAAAGAUAAAUCGACUGUCCCUGCCAAGGACUUUACAGAUUGGUGGAGGAGUCGUACCCUCCAGAAGAAAGUGUGUUGAGAACCCAAGCUGGAAUUCACACGAACCACCUCUCCGUCACAGCCUGAUGGCAUUGGGGUAACCUUCUGACCAGCUGUCUUCUGUGGUGGUUCUUGGCGCAAAGCAGGAUCUUGAUGAGCAGAGCCACGGAUCAGGCUGGGAUGCAGAUAUGAGAGACCCUCUUCGAAGCUUGUGGGCCAGCUAGGCUGACUUGUGCAGUGCUGAACAAGAGGCUCCAUUUCCAGCAAGGUCAAAGUUGGAGACCAACAUGUCUGAGGUUGUCUCUUCUGGCUUCCAUACAUGAGCUGAGACACAGUGUGCCCACCAAUCACACACACACACACACACACACACACACACACACACACACAUACACACACACUCACUCAUAAGGUGAUACACACAGAAAACAGAUGAAAAAUAAAUAAUAGGGAUGAUGGAGGAAGAGGGGGCCAGAAAGAAUGGAAGAAUCAGGAUCAAAAUUGUGUCUUCUGGACACAGCUAGACUGCUGCUGUCAUGGGCUCACUGCAGCUGUCCUUGCUGGCCACACAAGAUCAAGCCAGCCAACAUUCCAGGAUUGAGGGGGAGGGUUUCACGAGCUCCCCGCCACCCUCUGAGGAUCUAUGGGCAGUUAAUAGCUUUUAGGGGAGGGACGAGUCAUUUUUCUUUAAAGUUGUGUCCACUGUCAGGUCAAGAGUGUUCCGCACCCAGGAGCAUAUAAGGAGCACAAAUUGGAUCUUAUUAUUGUUAUUAUUGUUAAUAAAACAGAAACCCCAACAGUAAUACAAACCACAAUUACUGCUGGAGUAGUAAUUAACUGCUGCAGCAGUUAAGAGCACUCACUGCUCUUGAGGAGCACCUGGGUUUCAGUCUCAGCACCCACAUGGCAGUUCCCACAGGUCUGUGAAUCUAGUCCCAGGGAAUCCAAAGCCCUUCCAUGACCUCUACGGGCACUAGGCACACCCAUGAUGUACACACAUACAUG